rnacentral:misc_RNA from 1 species
GAUGAAGAACGUAGCGAAAUACGAUAAGUAAUGUGAAUUGCAGAAUUCAGUGAAUCAUCGAAUCUUUGAACGCACAUUGCGCCCGCCAGUAUUCUGGCGGGCAUGCCUGUUCGAGCGUCAUUUCAACCAUCAAGCCCCCGGCUUGUGUUGGGGACCUGCGGCUGCCGCAGGCCCUGAAAACCAGUGGCGGGCUCGCUAGUCACUCCGAGCGUAGUAAUACAUCUCGCUCAGGGCGUGCUGCGGGUUCCGGCCGUUAAAAAGCCUUAUUUACCCAAGGUUGACCUCGGAUCAGGUAGGAAGACCCGCUGAACUUAAGCAUAUCAAUAAGCGGAGGA